UGUACUUCAUUCUAAGCUUGAAUUCCAUCACCUUACCUAACCCGUUUAUGGUCCUCGUGCAGUCCUGGGUCAGUUGGUGACCAGAAGUCAGAUGCUGUGGCCCAUCACUGCCCCAUUCCAGAAGGUGCCUGGGAAGGAGUAGAUGUCUCCUCUCCCCAAUGUAUUUUGACUUUUCCAAGUGUGGGUGCGAGAACACAGCUUGAGGAUUUUGGAACAUACUUCAGAAAGCCUCGCAGGCCGUGGCUAACACGAAAGGUAACUACUGUUUCAUGGCUGAAAAAGGAAAAGAAGUCAAUGUUUUCUAAGGACUCUCUCGCAAGGCAUUUGCAGCGCAAGGGUGGAUUUCACAGGCGUCUUAAUUCCUGGCAGUGAAGGCUGAGGGCUGUCUUGGAGACCAGAAGC